GUCCCUGUAGCUUAACACAAAGCAUGGCACUGAAGAUGCCAAGAUGAUGCCAAUGCAUUCAUGGACA
rnacentral:tRNA from 2 species